rnacentral:sRNA from 1 species
GGCGCCUGUAGGAUAUGGCAGUGAGUUCAAGGUCGUUCUUCCCUCCAGAUUUACCUCCGAAAACCCCACUCCUACUCUGCAAGCGUUUUCAUUUUUUAUUUGCAAAGGUAGUAAGUAACAUGGCAACUGGUUCCGUCAAGUGGUUCAACGAGGCGAAGGGUUUUGGUUUCAUCAGUCAGGACGAUGGUGGCAAGGACGUUUUCGUGCAUUUCAGCGCCAUUCAGGGCUCGGGUUUCAAGACCCUGGCAGAAGGUCAGAAAGUGUCCUUCGACAUUCAGGACGGCCCGAAGGGCCCGCAGGCAGCCAACGUGGUGCCCGCCUGAUCUCGUCCUGCUUCAAGGAUGACUCGAGAGAGCCCCGCCAAGUGCGGGGUUCUUUCG